GUUACUCGGGAGGCAGCAGUGAGGGAUAUUGGUCAAUGGGGGAAACCCUGAACCAGCAACGCCGCGUGAGGGAAGACGGUUUUCGGAUUGUAAACCUCUGUCCUCUGUGAAGAUAAUGACGGUAGCAGAGGAGGAAGCUCCGGCUAACUACGUGCCAGCAGCCGCGGUAAUACGUAGGGAGCAAGCGUUGUCCGGAUUUACUGGGUGUAAAGGGUGCGUAGGCGGGCUUGCAUGUCAGAAGUGAAAUCUAUGGGCUUAACCC
rnacentral:rRNA from 1 species